rnacentral:rRNA from 1 species
GCUACNAUGCAGUCGAGCGGGGUAANAGGUAGCUUGCUACCUGACCUAGDNABASNRDNMNVNRSNNNNNRDNRNNWAUWWWNDNABASNRNCNMUNRNMNVNUHNSNNMNUAUNNNCCCUACGGGGGAAAGCAGGGGAUCUUCGGACCUUGCGCUAAUAGAUGAGCCUAAGUCAGAUUAGCUAGUUGGUGGGGUAAAGGCCUACCAAGGCGACGAUCUGUAGCGGGUCUGAGAGGAUGAUCCGCCACACUGGGACUGAGACACGGCCCAGACUCCUACGGGAGGCAGCAGUGGGGAAUAUUGGACAAUGGGCGAAAGCCUGAUCCAGCCAUGCCGCGUGUGUGAAGAAGGCCUUUUGGUUGUAAAGCACUUUAAGCGAGGAGGAGGCUACUUAGAUUAAUACUCUAGGAUAGUGGACGUUACUCGCAGAAUAAGCACCGGCUAACUCUGUGCCAGCAGCCGCGGUAAUACAGAGGGUGCGAGCGUUAAUCGGAUUUACUGGGCGUAAAGCGUGCGUAGGCGGCUUUUUAAGUCGGAUGUGAAAUCCCUGAGCUUAACUUAGGAAUUGCAUUCGAUACUGGGAAGCUAGAGUAUGGGAGAGGAUGGUAGAAUUCCAGGUGUAGCGGUGAAAUGCGUAGAGAUCUGGAGGAAUACCGAUGGCGAAGGCAGCCAUCUGGCCUAAUACUGACGCUGAGGUACGAAAGCAUGGGGAGCAAACAGGAUUAGAUACCCUGGUAGUCCAUGCCGUAAACGAUGUCUACUAGCCGUUGGGGCCUUUGAGGCUUUAGUGGCGCAGCUAACGCGAUAAGUAGACCGCCUGGGGAGUACGGUCGCAAGACUAAAACUCAAAUGAAUUGACGGGGGCCCGCACAAGCGGUGGAGCAUGUGGUUUAAUUCGAUGCAACGCGAAGAACCUUACCUGGUCUUGACAUAGUAAGAACUUUCCAGAGAUGGAUUGGUGCCUUCGGGAACUUACAUACAGGUGCUGCAUGGCUGUCGUCAGCUCGUGUCGUGGAGAUGUUGGGUUAAGUCCCGCAACGAGCGCAACCCUUUUCCUUAUUUGCCAGCGGGUUAAGCCGGGAACUUUAAGGAUACUGCCAGUGACAAACUGGAGGAAGGCGGGGACGACGUCAAGUCAUCAUGGCCCUUACGACCAGGGCUACACACGUGCUACAAUGGUCGGUACAAAGGGUUGCUACCUAGCGAUAGGAUGCUAAUCUCAAAAAGCCGAUCGUAGUCCGGAUUGGAGUCUGCAACUCGACUCCAUGAAGUCGGAAUCGCUAGUAAUCGCGGAUCAGAAUGCCGCGGUGAAUACGUUCCCGGGCCUUGUACACACCGCCCGUCACACCAUGGGAAUUUGUUGCACCAGAAGUAGGUAGUCUAACCGCAAGGAGGACGCUAC